rnacentral:snRNA from 1 species
GUGCUUGCUUUGGCAGCACAUAUACUAAAAAAUUGGAAUGAUACAGAGAAGAUUAGCAUGGCCACUGUGCAAGAAUGACAUGCAAAUUCAUGAAGCAUUCCAUUAAAAA